CCCCUACUACACGGUAUCCUCGAGUCGUGGGAUGAGUAUGCGAUCUCAAGCUGUUCAUGGAGUCGCCUCUGAACCUCAAGUUGCAGUUUCCAAACUCCCCUCCAGUGCACUGGACGCUGUAUGCUGCGCAGGAUGUUCUUGGCGUCAGGACGUUCAAACUCAAUGGACUCCCACAAUUCCUCCGGAUAUAACUCUACUAUUUGAAGAGAAGGGAGAGGAAUCGGUUGGCCAUUGACCAGCGUGAUCAGAGAGAGCGGCAUCUGCUUUAGCUUUGGACACUCGACCACCAAAAUUACUUUGAGGGAGUUGCAAACCAAUUUUCCACCAUAAAUGCUCUUCAUUUGUGGUAAGUGUCUCAAAUCAAAAUGCUGUAAUUUUGGGAGAAUUAAUUGAGCAAUAUUGCCACCAUUGCUAUCAUGGGUUUCUUGUUCUUCAUCCAUUGCUAUCAGCUCCUCCAUAUUUUCACAAAAGUCAACAGAAAUAGCUUCCAGGUUUUGAAGGUUUGCCAGCACGACUGGAGGGAACAACUUUUUUAUUCCUCGGCAAAAAUGUAUUUCAAGUGCUUGAAGAAGGGAAAAGGUAUUUUGAGGUGUUGACAGUGGUAUGGAGCGGGAGAUGAAUCUUUGGAUGUCGCAACAUUCUGUCCCGUCACAAUCGUCAAUUUUUAGGCGCUUGAGCUCAGUUACAAUCUUCAAGCAUGAGAUGAUUCUUUGGACGUCGCAACGUAUAAAGCGCAGAUAUUGGACAUCUUUUGGGAUAUGCGGGGCAUCUUCUCCAUCGCUGACACCGCACUCGCAAAAAGUUACAGUUUUCACAUAUGUUUUCACAUCUGUUGUGAUAAAACGUAAAAAUAUGUCCCUGCCCUGUCCAACAAUAAUCUGGUAUGAGCUUAGAUUGGGCGCACUUGUUGAAGUCCGGUAUUUGUUGAACUCACCCACAUCGUAGAAAAUGCAUUUCAAAGUUUCCAACUUCCUCAAAGAUGCUACCUCCUCUUCUUUAACUGUGAUUGAUGGCAGCGCAAGGAAUUGCAUAUGGGACAAUUUUGGUAGUAUCCCUGGCGUUAACUCCAGAUAUGUAAAACCCAGAUCCAAAUAACUGAGAUUGGACAGCCAUUCUAUUCCUUCAGGCAAUUUUUCAACUCUGGAGUCAUAGAGAUCCAACUUCUUCAAUGCACUAAGUUGGGCUAAUGAUGGUAAGCAACGUAGCCCCAGACAUUCUCUGAGCAAUAAUGCACUUAGAUUCACCAAAUAUGAGAUGGAACCCGGCAAUUCUUCAAUACCUGUUUGUGAAAGAUCAAGCACCUUGAGCCCAUGCAAUUGCUCGAAGAAAGAAUAUUCAAUAAAUCUUAACCUGAAAUUUUCACACAACAACAGUGUUGAAAGGUUGGGAAAAGCAGGUGAAUAACCAAAAGAAAUUUCCGGUAUGCGAUUGCACAUUAGAGAAAUUCUCACAAG
rnacentral:misc_RNA from 1 species